UAUUCUCACAAAGGCACAGGUACUCAUGUGGCAGGGCCCACCCAUCACACACUCAUUGCCAGCCACAGGAGCCAUCUGCUGAGUGGGUAUUGAGUGCAAAGGGGCAUGGAAGGGUGGCUUAAACCCAACAGAGGACCACAGCUCUGCAUCAGCAUUCUGCUUCUUACAGGCUUCAGUAAUGGGGAAGAGUAUAGCAGAACCCCAGAGACCAAUUUUCCACUUCCAUUUACCAAGCCAAAUAGGAAGGCUGUGUCACAAGGAUGCUUGUCUUUCAUGAAAAAGUCUAACCACCACACUAACUACCCUUGAGAAGGCCCUCCUGAGAAAUAAACUGCAUCUUCGUUGAUGACAA
rnacentral:lncRNA from 1 species